UACGAAGGGGGCUAGCGUUGCUCGGAAUCACUGGGCGUAAAGGGUGCGUAGGCGGGUCUUUAAGUCAGGGGUGAAAUCCUGGAGCUCAACUCCAGAACUGCCUUUGAUACUGGAGAGCUUGAGUCCGGGAGAGGUGAGUGGAACUGCGAGUGUAGAGGUGAAAUUCGUAGAUAUUCGCGAGAACACCAGUGGCGAAGGCGGCUCACUGGCCCGGUACUGACGCUGAGGUGCGAAAGCGUGGGGAGCAAACAGG
rnacentral:rRNA from 1 species